rnacentral:rRNA from 1 species
GGACGAUAACGGCGUCGAGCGGCGGACGGGUGAGUAAUGCCUAGGAAAUUGCCCUGGUGUGGGGGAUAACCAUUGGAAACGAUGGCUAAUACCGCAUAAUACCUACGGGUCAAAGAGGGGGACCUUCGGGCCUCUCGCGUCAGGAUAUGCCUAGGUGGGAUUAGCUAGUUGGUGAGGUAAUGGCUCACCAAGGCGACGAUCCCUAGCUGGUCUGAGAGGAUGAUCAGCCACACUGGAACUGAGACACGGUCCAGACUCCUACGGGAGGCAGCAGUGGGGAAUAUUGCACAAUGGGCGCAAGCCUGAUGCAGCCAUGCCGCGUGUGUGAAGAAGGCCUUCGGGUUGUAAAGCACUUUCAGUCGUGAGGAAGGUGGUGGAGUUAAUAGCUGUAUCAUUUGACGUUAGCGACAGAAGAAGCACCGGCUAACUCCGUGCCAGCAGC